ensembl:snoRNA Gm23012 predicted gene, 23012
CUCAUGGAAAAACUAUCUUACUUAUUGGCAAGGCUGUCCCCUUUAGUUUGUAUCAGAUUCUGGUUUGCACAAGUAACAGUC